rnacentral:rRNA from 1 species
UACGUAGGUGGCAAGCGUUGUCCGGAAUUACUGGGCGUAAAGGGUGCGCAGGCGGUUCAUUAAGUGGGAUGUGAAAUCCCCGGGCUUAACCCGGGAACUGCAUUCCAAACUGGUGAGCUAGAGUGCAGGAGAGGAAAGUGGAAUUCCCAGUGUAGCGGUGAAAUGCGUAGAGAUUGGGAGGAACACCAGUGGCGAAGGCGACUUUCUGGACUGUAACUGACGCUGAGGCACGAAAGUGUGGGGAG